rnacentral:rRNA from 1 species
UGGUGGAGUGAUUUGUCUGGUUAAUUCCGAUAACGAACGAGACCUUAACCUGCUAACUAGUUACACUAAUCUCUGAUUGGUGGCCAACUUCUUAGAGGGACUAUCGAUCUUAAUUCGAUGGAAGUUUGAGGCAAUAACA